ACGAACGCUUGCGACGUGCCUAAGAAAUGCAAGUCGAGCGGGGGAGCAGAUUUCGGUUUGCUCCUUAGCGGCGAACGGUCGCGUAACACGUAGGCAAACCUGCCCGAAAGACGACGGGACAUACGCGUUCCGAAAGGAGCGCUAAUACCGGAUGAGGCCGAGUGGGGACAUCUCUGCUCGAUUAAAUCCUUUUGGGGGCUUUCGGAGGGGCCUGCGGCCUAUCAGCUAGAUGGUGGUGGGUAACGGCCUACCAUGGCGACGACGGGUAGCUGGUCUGAGAGGAUGGUCAGCCGGACUGGGACUGAGAUACGGCCCAGAACUCCUACGGGGGGCAGCAAUUAGGAAUCUUGCGCAAUGGGCGAAAGCCUGACGCAGCGACGUCGCGUGGGGGAGGACGGCCUCCGGUUGUAAACCCCUUUUAGGUAGGAAGAAACAAAUGACGGUACUACCUGAAUAAGCCCCGGCUAACUCCGUGCCAGCAGCCGCGGUAAUACGGAGGGGGCGAGCGUUGUCCGAAUCUUACUGGGCGUAAAGCGCGCGUAGGCGGGGAAUUAAGUCCGCUGUGAAAGCCCGGUGCUCACCGCCGGAGGGUCGGUGGAUACUGGGUUCUCUUGAAGGUGCUAGGGGGAGAUGGAAUUAUCCGGUGUAGGCGGUGGAAAUGCGUAGAUAUCGGUAGGAACACCAGUGGCGAAGGCGGUCUCCUGGGGCACUCUUGACGCUGAAUGCGCGAAAGCUGGGGGAGGAGCGAACGGGAUUAGAUACCCCGGUAGUCCCAGCCCUAACGAUGGAUACUAGGUGUGGGGGGGUAUCGACCCCUACCCGUGCCGCGCCCACGCCAACGUAAGUAAGUAUCCCGCCUGGGGAGUACGGCCCGCAAGGUUGAAACUCAAAGGAAUUGACGGGGGCCCGCACAAGCGGUGGAGCAUGUUGUUUAAUACGUCACUUAACGCGUAGAACCUUACCAGGGCUUGACAUCCUCUGCACCGGGGUGAAAGCCUCGUCCUCGCCAAGAGGCGGAGAGACAGGUGUUGCCUAUGGCUGUCGUCAGCUCGUGUCGCUGAGAUGUUGGGUUAAGUCCCGCAACGAGCGCAACCCUCAUCCCAUGUUGCCAGCAUAUCAGGGUGGGCCUACUCUUGGGAAACUGCCGGGGUAACUCGGAGGAUAGGUGAGGAUGACGUCAAGUCAGCAUGGCCCUUACGCCCUGGGCUACAAACAUGCUACAAUGGACGGUAGACAGAGGGAUCCGAGGGGGCGACCGCGGAGGCAAUCUCAAAAAUCCGUUCUCAGUUCGGAUCGCAGGCUGCAACUCGCCUGCGUGAAGUCGGAAUCGCUAGUAACCGCAGAUCAGCUAAGCUGCGGUGAAUACGUUCCCGGGCCUUGUACACACCGCCCGUCGACACCAUGAGAGUUAGCAAUACCCGAAGUCCGUAAGGUAACCCGUAAGGGAGCCAGCGGCCGAAGGUAGGGUUAGCGAUGGGGUGA
rnacentral:rRNA from 1 species